GAUGAACGCUGGCGGCGUGCCUAAUACAUGCCAGUCGAGCGAACAGAUGAGGAGCUUGCUCCUCUGACGUUAGCGGCGGACGGAUGAGUAACACGUGGAUAACCUACCUAUAAGACUGGGAUAACUUCGGGAAACCGGAGCUAAUACCGGAUAAUAUAUUGAACCGCAUGGUUCAAUAGUGAAAGACGGUUUUGCUGUCACUUAUAGAUGGAUCCGCGCCGCAUUAGCUAGUUGGUAAGGUAACGGCUUACCAAGGCAACGAUGCGUAGCCGACCUGAGAGGGUGAUCGGCCACACUGGAACUGAGACACGGUCCAGACUCCUACGGGAGGCAGCAGUAGGGAAUCUUCCGCAAUGGGCGAAAGCCUGACGGAGCAACGCCGCGUGAGUGAUGAAGGUCUUCGGAUCGUAAAACUCUGUUAUUAGGGAAGAACAAAUGUGUAAGUAACUAUGCACGUCUUGACGGUACCUAAUCAGAAAGCCACGGCUAACUACGUG
rnacentral:rRNA from 1 species